GACGAACGCUGGCGGCGUGCCUAAUACAUGCAAGUCGAACGCACAGUUUAUACCGUAGCUUGCUACACCAUAGACUGUGAGUUGCGAACGGGUGAGUAACGCGUAGGUAACCUGCCUGGUAGCGGGGGAUAACUAUUGGAAACGAUAGCUAAUACCGCAUAAUAUUAAUUAUUGCAUGAUAAUUAAUUGAAAGGUGCAAUUGCACCACUACCAGAUGGACCUGCGUUGUAUUAGCUAGUAGGUGAGGUAACGGCGCACCUAGGCGACGAUACAUAGCCGACCGGCGAGGGUGGUCGGCCACACUGGGACUGUGACACGGCCCAGAGUCCUAGGGGAGGGAGCAGUAGGGAAACGGGGGGAAGGGGCGAGAGUCUGACCAAGCAGCGCCGCGUGAGUGAAGAAGGAUUUCGGAUCGUGAAGCUCUGUUGUAGGGGAAUAACGGGUGUGAGAGUGGAAAGUUCACACUGUGACGGUAUCUGAUCAGGAAGGGACGGCUAACUACGUG
rnacentral:rRNA from 1 species